UAUUAAUUUCAUCAAUUGGUUUCCCCAUAUAUAACAUGUUUAUGGUGUUUGCAAUGCGUUUCUUUGAUAGGAUCAACAAAGUAGAGAGCUUUCUCAGCACAAUGUUUCUAGACGAGCCAAGAAACUUAAAGUAAAGGAAGAAGAAAUAAAGUUGAAGCCCGUGAUUGCAUUUGAUUGUGAAUCUGAAUUACAGUGGGGAAUCCAGCCUUAAAGGCAUGUGUAUAAGUAUAUAAAUUGAAAUGUGGGGAAAGUUGGGAUGAUGAAGAAGAAACAGCAGCAGUAGAAAGAGCAAGUGAAGUGAAUUUUGCAGAUGAGAUGAGUGGAAUUAACACAGGAUCUCCUUCACCAACUUCAUCUAAUGAAUCCUCUGUUACAAGUUAAUUAUUAGAGCAUCGAAAAUUGUUCAAAUGAGUUAGAAAAUUGAAUAGGAGUUGCUUGCAGCAUAGUUCUUUUAAUUUACUAGUAUGAGGAAAAUUAUUUAGAGCCCUUUGGAUACCCAUUAACAACUUUUAAUUUACUCAAUACAAUUUGUUGAUGUAUGGUUAUUUAUUAUUAUGGUUGAUGUAUCAAUACACUUUGUUUAUGAUUUAAAUUAUAUUGACUUGUUUGUUUA